CCCCAUACAGCGAGGGGGGCGGGGAUGGGGAAACCGACCUUCCUCCCCUUCUCCACCCCUCCUUCUCUCCCACUCCCUCCUCUUUCCCCACCUCCUGGGAUCCUCCACGGGUCUGGUCCUGCCCUGGGCCAGGCUGCCCGUCUGAGUUUCUGGGUCAGUCAUGAGUUUGGGGGAAAAGAAAAUGGCAUCAUUUCUGCCUCUAGGAUCAAAGAUCCUCAACUCUAGCCUGCUCUGGCCGCCUGUCUCCUGCUGGGCCCACGGUCCCCCUCUGUCCCCAUGCCCACAGCGGCAGCGUGCCCGUCCGUAGGUAUCGGCGUGAUUCUUCUCUCUACAUUUUUAAAAAUUCCAAACCUCCCCACAACUCAAACGUUUCUCUUAUUAUCUUCUGCCGAGGGAAAAAAAUUAAUAACAUGGCGCAAUAUAAAAUACUAAAUUAAAGGCAUUUUGGAACCAGC
rnacentral:lncRNA from 1 species